rnacentral:rRNA from 1 species
CUACGGGUCGCUGCAGCAAGGAAUAUUGUGCAAUGGGCGAAAGCCUGACACAGCGACGCCGCGUGGGGGAAGAAGGCUUUCGGGUUGUAAACCCCUUUUCUCAGGGAAGAAUAAUGACGGUACCUGAGGAAUAAGUCUCGGCUAACUACGUGCCAGCAGCCGCGGUAAUACGUAGGAGGCAAGCGUUAUCCGGAUUUACUGGGCGUAAAGAGGGCGUAGGCGGUUCUUCAAGUCGGAUGUAAAAUUUCCCGGCUUAACUGGGAGGGAACAUCUGAUACUGUUGGGCUAGAGUGCAGCAGAGGGAAGUGGAAUUCCCGGUGUAGUGGUGAAAUGCGUAGAUAUCGGGAGGAACACCAGUGGCGAAAGCGGCUUCCUGGGCUGUAACUGACGCUAAGGUCCGAAAGCGUGGAGAGCAAACAGGAUUAGAUACCCUCGUAGUC